AUUGAACGCUGGCGGCAUGCCUUACACAUGCAAGUCGAACGGUAACAGGUCUUCGGAUGCUGACGAGUGGCGAACGGGUGAGUAAUACAUCGGAACGUGCCAAGUAGUGGGGGAUAACUACUCGAAAGAGUGGCUAAUACCGCAUGAGAUCUACGGAUGAAAGCAGGGGAUCGCAAGACCUUGUGCUACUAGAGCGGCCGAUGGCAGAUUAGGUAGUUGGUGGGAUAAAAGCUUACCAAGCCGACGAUCUGUAGCUGGUCUGAGAGGACGAUCAGCCACACUGGGACUGAGACACGGCCCAGAGUCCUACGGGAGGCAGCAGUGGGGAAUUUUGGANAAUGGGCGAAAGCCUGAUCCAGCAAUGCCGCGUGCAGGAUGAAGGCCUUCGGGUUGUAAACUGCUUUUGUACGGAACGAAAAGCCCCGGGUUAAUACCNUGGGGUCAUGACGGUACCGUAAGAAUAAGCACCGGCUAACUACGUGCCAGCCGCCGCCGUAA
rnacentral:rRNA from 1 species